CGGAGCGGCUCGGGUGAUCGUCGGUGUCGUCAGCUUGCUGGCGGCGCGGGAGGAAAGUCCGAGCUCCGCAGGGCAGAAUGCCAGGUAACGCCUGGUGGGGGCGACCCCGAGGACAGUGCCACAGAGAGAAGACCGCCACGACGCCCCGCUCCCCUCGGGGGGAUGGGCCUCGCGGUAAGGGUGAAAGGGUGCGGUAAGAGCGCACCGGGCCGGCGGUAACGUCGGUCGCGAGGUAAACCCCAUUCGGAGCAAGACCAAAUAGGGAAGCGUUUGAGGGCGGCCCGCCUGAUGCUUCCGGGUAGUGUCGCUGGAGACGCACGGUGACGUGCGCCCUAGAUGAAUGACCACCACCCACGCGCCGGCGACGGACGUGGGGACAAAACUCGGCUUACGAGCUCUCCGACCG
rnacentral:RNase_P_RNA from 1 species